CAUUACUGAGAUAGGGUCCUUUUUGGGACUCGACCCUCCCACCCUUUGUGUAUAUACCUCUGUUGCUUCGGCGGCCCCCGCGGCGUACGGCGUUAUAAAAUGCGUCGAGCCCGGCCCGCCAGAGGCCAUUUCGAUUCUGACUCUUAUCAAUGACUGUCUGAGCAUACUUUGCAAAAAAUUCAAUCAAAACUUUCAACAACGGAUCUCUUGGUUCUGGCAUCGAUGAAGAACGCAGCGAAAUGCGAUAAGUAAUGCGAAUUGCAGAAUUCAGUGAAUCAUCGAAUCUUUGAACGCACAUUGCGCCCUCUGGUAUUCCGGAGGGCAUGCUUGUUCGAGCGUCAUUACACCUCUCAAGCUUGGCUUGGUAUUGGGUCUCCGCCCUUUGUGGACGGGCCUGAAAAUCAGUGGCGGUGCAGCCGGUGCUCAGAGCAUAGUACAUUUAUCUCGCUUUGGAGUCACCGGGUGGACCCGCCAGACAA
rnacentral:rRNA from 1 species